UACGGAGGAGGCAAGCGUUAUCCGGAAUUAUUGGGCGUAAAGCGUCCGCAGGUGGCACUUCAAGUCUGUCGUCAAAGACUGGGGCUUAACCCUGGAAAGGCGGUGGAAACUGAAGCGCUAGAGUGCGGUAGGGGUAGAGGGAAUUCCCGGUGUAGCGGUGAAAUGCGUAGAGAUCGGGAAGAACAUCGGUGGCGAAAGCGCUCUGCUGGACCUUAACUGACACUGAGGGACGAAAGCUAGGGGAGCGAAUGGG
rnacentral:rRNA from 1 species